AAUAUUGGACAAUGGGCGAAAGCCCGAUCCAGCCAUGCCGCGUGUGUGAAGAAGGUCUUCGGAUUGUAAAGCACCUUAAUUUGGGGGGAAGGGCAGUAAGUUAAUACUUUGCUGUUAUGCCGUUACCGACAUAAUAAGCACCGGCGACCUACGUCCCAGCAGCCGCGGUAAUACGAAGGGGGCGAGCGUUGUCCGGAAUUACUGGGCGUAAAGCGCGCGCAGGUGGGUUGUUAAGUCAGGUGUCAAAAUGCGGGGCUCAACCCCGUACCGCACUUGAAACUGGCAGGCUUGAGUGCAGGAGAGGGAAGUGGAAUUCCUAGUGUAGCGGGGAAAUGCGUAGAUAUUAGGAGGAACACCAGUGGCGAAGGCGACUUCCUGGACUGUAACUGACACUGAGGCGCGAAAGCUAGGGGAGCAAAC
rnacentral:rRNA from 1 species